rnacentral:rRNA from 1 species
ACUCAAAGGAAUUGACGGGGACCCGCACAAGCGGUGGAUUAUGUGGAUUAAUUCGAUGCAACGCGAAAAACCUUACCUACCCUUGACAUGCCAGGAACCUCGCAGAGAUGUGAGGGUGCCCGAAAGGGAACCUGGACACAGGUGCUGCAUGGCUGUCGUCAGCUCGUGUCGUGAGAUGUUGGGUUAAGUCCCGCAACGAGCGCAACCCUUGCCAUUAGUUGCCACAUUCAGUUGGGCACUCUAAUGGGACUGCCGGUGACAAACCGGAGGAAGGUGGGGAUGACGUCAAGUCCUCAUGGCCCUUAUGGGUAGGGCUUCACACGUAAUACAAUGGCCGGUACAGAGGGCAGCCAACCCGCGAGGGGGAGCUAAUCCCAGAAAGCCGGUCGUAGUCCGGAUUGCAGUCUGCAACUCGACUGCAUGAAGCCGGAAUCGCUAGUAAUCGCGGAUCAGCAUGUCGCGGUGAAUACGUUCCCGGGUCUUGUACACACCGCCCGU